rnacentral:rRNA from 1 species
GGUAGCCGNCCUGAGAGGGUGACCGGCCACACUGGGACUGAGACACGGCCCAGACUCCUACGGGAGGCAGCAGUGGGGAAUAUUGCACAAUGGGCGGAAGCCUGAUGCAGCGACGCCGCGUGAGGGAUGANGGCCUUCGGGUUGUAAACCUCUUUCAGCAGGGACGAAGCGUGAGUGACGGUACCUGCAGAAGAAGCACCGGCUAACUACGUGCCAGCAGCCGCGGUAAUACGUAGGGUGCGAGCGUUGUCCGGAAUUACUGGGCGUAAAGAGUUCGUAGGCGGUUUGUCGCGUCGUUUGUGAAAACCCGGGGCUCAACUUCGGGCUUGCAGGCGAUACGGGCAGACUUGAGUGUUUCAGGGGAG